CUUUGGUCCGCCAGUUUCUCCUGGUGCCAGAGGUGGAGAGUUGAAGGAGUGAGUGUCCUGGUUGGAGCAGUGGCCGAGAGAGCUGCCACCUCCCACGCUUUUUGGGAGAGUAAAACGCGAAACGUGGCUGUUUUGUGCAUGCGUGAUGCGGAGGACUUCUCUAAGCACGUCUUCAUGUGGGUUCUGGAGAGAAGGCUGCUGGAGGAAGGAAGGACAUACCAGCAUUGCAGAGCCUGGAAUGACCGGAAAGUGGAAGCCUCGACUUGACGCUGAAGCCCAGGAUGGAAUGUGAAGGGAGACUGAGUUAGUUGGAGUGUGGAGUGCAUCUGUCUGAAAAGGCAACACUCUGUAUAUGUUAAAACGUAAAACCUAGGAGGGAAGAAGGUUGUCUGCAGAGGGCUGAAUUUAAGGCAAAUGCUGAAGGGCAGAACGGUUUUCCUUUCAGAGACUUGGUGGAGGGUCAAACAAUUUUCUGGUAGAUCUGGUGAAAGGCCUUCAUCUGAACUUUACUUCAUUCCAGGGAGGAACAGUGUGGUAUCAAGGAGCAGAAUGAAUUGGCUGCUAGGCCUUUGCUGCCUUUGAUUGCUGUGGUCACAUUAAAUGCACCUGCAGCAGUUUCACUGUGGCAUAAAAAAAUGAGGUCAAAGAGACAAGAAAACAUGUUAUUUAACUAAAAAGAAUCAUCUAUUUGGACAGCUAUACUAAUAGAAUGUGUGUCUACAAGUUCCAUUUGUGGUGGUGGCAAUGUCUUCCUAGUUUUAGCUCCCGUAGUCUGGUCUCCAAACCUGCAAUACAUAACACUUUCCUGCUUA